rnacentral:rRNA from 1 species
AGCGUAGGUGGGUUGGUAAGUCAGUGGUGAAAUCCCCGAGCUUAACUUGGGAACUGCCAUUGAUACUAUCAGUCUUGAAUACUGUGGAGGUUAGCGGAAUAUGUCAUGUAGCGGUGAAAUGCUUAGAUAUGACAUAGAACACCAAUUGCGAAGGCAGCUGGCUACACAAUUAUUGACACUGAGGCUCGAAAGCGUGGGGAUCAAACAGGAUUAGAUACCCUGGUAGUCCACGCCCUAAACUAUGGAUACUCGACAUAUGCGAUACACUGUAUGUGUCUGAGCGAAAGCAUUAAGUAUCCCACCUGGGAAGUACGAUCGCAAGAUUGAA